CCUACGGGUGGCAGCAGUGAGGAAUAUUGGUCAAUGGACGGAAGUCUGAACCAGCCAUGCCGCGUGCAGGAAGACGGCUCUAUGAGUUGUAAACUGCUUUUGUACAAGGGUAAACCUGAAUACGUGUAUUCAGCUGAAAGUACUGUACGAAUAAGGAUCGGCUAACUCCGUGCCAGCAGCCGCGGUAAUACGGAGGAUCCAAGCGUUAUCCGGAUUUAUUGGGUUUAAAGGGUGCGUAGGUGGAUUGAUAAGUGAGAGGUGAAAUGUCCGGGCUUAACUCUGGAACUGCCUUUAAUACUGUUGGUCUAGAGUGUAGAUGAGGUAGGCGGAAUGUAGGGUGUAGCGGUGAAAUGCUUAGAGAUCAUACAGAACACCGAUUGCGAAGGCAGCUUACUAAUCUAUAUCUGACGUUGAGGCACGAAAGCGUGGGGAGCAAACAGGAUUAGAUACCCGGGUAGUC
rnacentral:rRNA from 1 species